UACGUAGGGCGCAAGCGUUAUCCGGAAUUAUUGGGCGUAAAGAGCUCGUAGGCGGUUUGUCGCGUCUGCCGUGAAAGUCCGGGGCUCAACUCCGGAUCUGCGGUGGGUACGGGCAGACUAGAGUGAUGUAGGGGAGACUGGAAUUCCUGGUGUAGCGGUGAAAUGCGCAGAUAUCAGGAGGAACACCGAUGGCGAAGGCAGGCUCUGGGCAUUAACUGACGCUGAGGAGCGAAAGCAUGGGGAGCGAACAGG
rnacentral:rRNA from 1 species